AGUCGCGUGUUCUAAUGGUUAUGAUUUGUCGUUCACAUUUGUGAGCUUGUAGCUACUACUGUAGUACCGACAAGGUUCCCGGUUCGAUCCCGGGCGCGACUA
rnacentral:tRNA from 1 species